rnacentral:rRNA from 1 species
GGGGGGGGUGCUAUACAUGCAGUCGAGCGCGGGAAGCAGACUGAAUCCUUCGGGAGGACGUCUGUGGAACGAGCGGCGGACGGGUGAGUAACACGUGGGCAACCUGCCUGUAAGACUGGGAUAACUCCGGGAAACCGGGGCUAAUACCGGAUAACUCAUCGGAUCGCAUGAUCCGAUGUUGAAAGAUGGCUUCUCGCUAUCACUUACAGAUGGGCCCGCGGCGCAUUAGCUAGUUGGUGAGGUAACGGCUCACCAAGGCCACGAUGCGUAGCCGACCUGAGAGGGUGAUCGGCCACACUGGGACUGAGACACGGCCCAGACUCCUACGGGAGGCAGCAGUAGGGAAUCAUCCGCAAUGGACGAAAGUCUGACGGUGCAACGCCGCGUGAGUGAGGAAGGCCUUCGGGUCGUAAAACUCUGUUGUUAGGGAAGAACAAGUUCCGUUCGAAUAGGGCGGAGCCUUGACGGUACCUAACCAGAAAGCCACGGCUAACUACGUGCCAGCAGCCGCGGUAAUACGUAGGUGGCAAGCGUUGUCCGGAAUUAUUGGGCGUAAAGCGCGCGCAGGCGGUUCCUUAAGUCUGAUGUGAAAGCCCACGGCUCAACCGUGGAGGGUCAUUGGAAACUGGGGAACUUGAAGACAGAAGAGGAGAGCGGAAUUCCACGUGUAGCGGUGAAAUGCGUAGAGAUGUGGAGGAACACCAGUGGCGAAGGCGGCUCUCUGGUCUGUGCUUGACGCUGAGGCGCGAAAGCGUGGGGAGCGAACAGGAUUAGAUACCCUGGUAGUCCACGCCGUAAAC